rnacentral:rRNA from 1 species
GAGCGGACAGAUGGGAGCUUGCUCCCUGAUGUUAGCGGCGGACGGGUGAGUAACACGUGGGUAACCUGCCUGUAAGACUGGGAUAACUCCGGGAAACCGGGGCUAAUACCGGAUGGUUGUUUGAACCGCAUGGUUCAAACAUAAAAGGUGGCUUCGGCUACCACUUACAGAUGGACCCGCGGCGCAUUAGCUAGUUGGUGAGGUAACGGCUCACCAAGGCAACGAUGCGUAGCCGACCUGAGAGGGUGAUCGGCCACACUGGGACUGAGACACGGCCCAGACUCCUACGGGAGGCAGCAGUAGGGAAUCUUCCGCAAUGGACGAAAGUCUGACGGAGCAACGCCGCGUGAGUGAUGAAGGUUUUCGGAUCGUAAAGCUCUGUUGUUAGGGAAGAACAAGUACCGUUCGAAUAGGGCGGUACCUUGACGGUACCUAACCAGAAAGCCACGGCUAACUACGUGCCAGCAGCCGCGGUAAUACGUAGGUGGCAAGCGUUGUCCGGAAUUAUUGGGCGUAAAGGGCUCGCAGGCGGUUUCUUAAGUCUGAUGUGAAAGCCCCCGGCUCAACCGGGGAGGGUCAUUGGAAACUGGGGAACUUGAGUGCAGAAGAGGAGAGUGGAAUUCCACGUGUAGCGGUGAAAUGCGCAGA